UGGAUCCAAAUCCUCUUCCCAAGUUUGUAUUAGUCAGUGUCAGGGACAUUCUGAAACGGCAACGUUUUCUGCUCUCCUUCGCUUGCACGCCGGCGUGAGAUCCGUUCUGCCACCGGCGAUCUCACCUCCACCGGCGCUUCUCGCGUUCAAAUCGAUUCAGCGUCUUUUAUUUGCCAAAUUCUGUCUAUCAUUCAUUCUGUAACACAGGUUCGCUACACUCAGCUUAUGCUGGUAAGACCUGUGCUGCAAGAGGUCGAUUGCAUCGGGUGAAGGGGAUACUGGUGGAAUGAUGGACACUCACGCGGAAGGUUCUGUUAGACCUGAGGAGCAUUUUCCUGAUGAGGAUCAUCAUUACGAAGAUGGAAGCAAUGGAAAUAUUGUAUUGGAAAAUGGAUUGUCCGAUGGUAAUCAAGGUCCUGCUGAUACUGACGAUCAGCUUCUAGAAAUGGUUAUGGACCUCAGGUUUCAGAAUGACUACUUAAAGUCCCAGUUUGAGGGAUUGAAAAUUGUAAACAGUGUACAUAGUGGUUCUAGUAUACAGAAAGGAGUUGGUGGCUUAGAAGAUGGGGAUUCUGACAUUGUGAAAGAACUAAAGGAAAAAAUACUAUUGUUGAAUAAAGAAUUUCUGGAAGAAAAGCAAACAAGAAUUGCAUCAGAGGAGGCUUUGAAGCAUCUUCAAGUGGCAUACUCAGAGGCAGAAGCAAAGGGCCAGGAGCUCUCUGAAAAGCUUGCAGAAGCUCAAACAAAGUUGGACCAAGAAAUAAAAGAGCGUGAUGAGAAGUAUUCUGAACUUGACUCCAAGUUUAACAGGCUUCACAAGCGAGCAAAACAGCGUAUUCAAGAAAUUCAAAAGGAAAAAGAUGAUAUUGAGGCCCGUUUCUCUGAGGUGAAUGAAAUUGCAGAGCGUGCAUCAUCCCAACAGUUAGCAAUGCAACAAGAAUUAGAGCGUACCAGGAAGCAAGCAAAUGAGGCAUUGAAAGCCAUGGAUGGUGAUAGACAACAACUAAGAAGUGCAAACAACAAUCUUCGAGAUACCAUUGAAGAUUUAAAGCGUUCAUUGCAACCUAAAGAGAGUGCUCUUGAAGCAUUGCAACAAUCACUUGCAGAAAAGGAACAGAUGUUGGAGGAUAUGAGAGGGUUGCUUCAGGCUGCUGAAGAAAAAAGGCAAGCUGCACUAGUUGAGCUCUCUUCUAAGCACCAAAAGAAUAUAGAGAGUUUGGAGGCUCAACUUAAUGAUGCAUUGUCUGACAGAAGUAAGGCAGCUGAGUCUAUUUCUUCACUGCAGGUUCUAGUUGCAGAAAAAGAAUCCAGAAUUGCAGAGAUGGAAGCAGCAUCAACCGGGGAAGCAGCACGACUCAGAGCGGUGGUGGAAAGUGUGAAAGGGGAGCUUUCUCACCUAAAAGAGGAGCAUGAAAAAGAAAGGGAAAGCUGGGAGACUGCUUCGCAAGCCCUCAAAGCAAAACUCGAGAUUGCAGAGAGCAACUGCAUACAUGCAGAAGUUGAAGUAGCCAAAAUAAGAAGUCAGCUAGAAUCAGAAGUAUCUGCCCAAACAAGGAUCCUCAAUAUGAGAGAUGUGGAAUUGUUGGCUGCUAAAGAAGAGAUCCGGUCUCUAGAAAAGGAAUUUUCUUCAUACAAAGUUCGUGCACAUGCACUUCUUCAAAAGAAAGAUGCUGAACUGGCGGCUGCUAAAGAUUCUGAACAACUCAGAGCUCUAGAGGAAACUCUGAAAGAGGUUGAAAAUGAAGUCUUAUCAAUAACAGAAGAAAGGGAUAAAGUUCUUCAAGAUCUUCAAUCUGCUAUGGCUAAUCAUGAGAAGGAACUUGCAGAAAGAGACACAACCCUUGAAAAUGUCAAGCAACAGAUAAGGAGCUUGGAAAUAAAGCUUGACUCAGUUAAUGCUCAGCACCUAAAAGAGAAAGAGGAAUGGGGACUAAGUCUUCAAAAUGUAGAAGAAACAUGGAGAAUCAAAUGUGAGGCAAUUAAGGCUGAAAAUGAAGCAACUGCCACAAAAGAUAAGCAAAAGGAAUUGGAAGAGCUCAAACAACGAUUUAAAAAACUGAAGGAAGAGCACACUUCAUUUCAUGAUCUUGCUGAUAGGACGAUUGAGGAGAAAGAUUAUGAAAUAUCCAGACUUUUAGAUGAAAAUAAAAACCUUCGCCAGUCUCUUCAAUCAAGACCACUAGUCGAUCAAAAUGAUUCUUACACAACAGCCUCACAUAAAUUGGAUUCAACAAAUUUAAGCCCCUCUGCCGCAGAACAGCAAAUUCUGCUUUUGGCUAGACAACAAGCGCAAAGAGAGGAGGAGUUAGCACAGUCACAGCGUCAUAUUUUAGCUCUUCAAGAAGAAAUUGAAGAGCUUGAACAUGAGAAUCGUCUCCACAACCAACAGCUCUUCCACUGGCCAUCACCAGUUCAGGUUGCUGACCACAAGAUCAGAGUCACUCAGACUCUUGCCAAACCCCGCAGUGCUGACCUUGUCUCUGUUAAAUUGGGCGCUUACUACUAUGCCAAAAAUUAUAUCUAAUAGUCAAGGUGCAAGUUUUAUAUUGAAGAGUGUAACAAUCCAAAUACUACAAUUCAACUGUGACCUAGCCUACUUAGUCUCUGUUGCAGGACAAUUGAUGUACCCUGUAAAAAUCUUUCCCUCAACAAUUGUUUUGUUAGGAAGCUAACUGUUUGAUUGUGGCGUGGUCCACUUUGUCUUCAUCAGGACAAUUGAUGCAACCUAUAAUAAUCUCCCCCUUUAAUAAUUGCCCCAUUUGGAAUUUAAUUCGUGACCUUAGCUUUGAUACUAAUUAUUGGAUCAAAUGCUUACCACUAAGCAAAAAAACUAUAGCUAAAGUAAGAAGGUAUGUCUUUCUAAAAAAGAGGGUAACUUAGUCCACUUGAUCUUUGUCAUGGGAUAAUUGAGUCAACCUGCAAUAGUGCCAUUGCUGUCCCCAAUAUAUCCUCUUUACAUUUUCAGUGCUGUUUGGUGUCAUCUUCUCUCUGUUGUCAUAUUCAGUUGCAUUCUGGCCUUAUCUUUAUUGUCCUUGGUCUUGAUCUCACGUAGAAUAUUGUUUUUGGAUAACCAUGUUAUUGGUAUUAGAUAUUUACCAAUUUUUUUGAUAACUAAUUUCGAACACAAUCUAAUCUCAUUGAUUCUUGUCCUAAAUGCAACCUGACCAGUGUUUGCCCUAGACAUGGCUUCAGCCGUGUUCUCUGGUCCUAGAUACUAUUUCCCAUCCGGUCUUCAGUCCCAAAAACCCACCUAUUCUCAUUGUUUUGGUGGAGCUGAUAUCAUCCUAGAGAGCCGGUUGGAAUGUUACAUGACAAAGGCAGAAAUUCAUCUCCUCAUGAAUCGUUACUAUAUCAAUGUGAUAGGUGAAAUCGUCAUCAGUACAAUUCCUAUCGAGGCCAAUAUGCAGCACAACAAAUUCAUCGAUGUAUGAAUGACUGGCGAAAAGAAGUCACUGGAAUGAUUGUCAUCAGAUAUAGUCUUGGUCUAAACCAACAGCAUGUUUGGCGGAGCUGAGGAGGCAAUGUUAAAGACUGAGCUUCGCAACAUGGAAAGAUCGAAGAAAAGGGAAGGUGUAGAUAUGACAUAUUUGAAGAAUGUUAUAUUAAAGCUACUUGAAACUG